rnacentral:rRNA from 1 species
GAUGAACGCUGGCGGCGUGCCUAAUACAUGCCAGUCGAGCGAACAGAUGAGGAGCUUGCUCCUCUGACGUUAGCGGCGGACGGGUGAGUAACACGUGGAUAACCUACCUAUAAGACUGGGAUAACUUCGGGAAACCGGAGCUAAUACUGGAUAAUAUAUUGAACCGCAUGGUUCAAUAGUGAAAGACGGUUUUGCUGUCACUUAUAGAUGGAUCCGCGCCGCAUUAGCUAGUUGGUAAGGUAACGGCUUACCAAGGCGACGAUGCGUAGCCGACCUGAGAGGGUGAUCGGCCACACUGGAACUGAGACACGGUCCAGACUCCUACGGGAGGCAGCAGUAGGGAAUCUUCCGCAAUGGGCGAAAGCCUGACGGAGCAACGCCGCGUGAGUGAUGAAGGUCUUCGGAUCGUAAAACUCUGUUAUUAGGGAAGAACAAAUGUGUAAGUAACUAUGCACGUCUUGACGGUACCUAAUCAGAAAGCCACGGCUAACUACGUG